ACUAUUUUGGCAGAAUGAAAUGCAGUAAAUUUAGAAUUUAUUUAUGUAAUUUUAAUUACAUUUAGUA
rnacentral:tRNA from 1 species